UGUGGUUUGCCGACGACAAACGGUUUUGCGUGUUUCUUAUUUGGUUUUCAGUGCAGCGAAGUGCAGUUAUUAUUUAAUCAUGGCGCACUUUUUUUCUUGAAUUUGAAAUAGGAGAACUGGAAGAAUGUGAGGAACGCGCUGUUUUGCAGCGUCAGCCACGAGGUUUUAUGUGCGCGAGCGUGUGUGUGUGUGUGCUUCAGUAGAUGCCGGCAUAUUCGUUCCAGGAAAAAAUAUUGGUACAAGAAACGAAGCAGCCAGACUGAAAGACAAAAGGCUUUGUUUGCGAGUAGUGUGUGUUUAAUUAUAUUUAAGAAAAUGGUGUCAUUGUAAUGAAAUACGUUUGUGAUGUGUGUGAGCAUGUUUGGCUAUUCAGCAGAUUCGAUGCGAGGCCACCGGUUGAUUGUGUGUGGCCCGGAUAUUUCUUUUGGCGCGGAUCUCGGCCUCGUGCUCCGAUGAAAUAAAAUUGCGUGUAUUAGGUUAGUUGAGAGUAGUGUCCAGAUGAAAUGUACCAAACGAAAAUGUGGUUUAACUUAUAGGAAUUGCGUUUUACCGCCUUUUCCAUGCCUUCAACUAGCUAUCAAGGUUGCUUCUUAAAGAAUCUGAGAAAUUAGGUGGCUAUUAUUUUCUGCCUAAAUGCUUCUUUCUGAUUUAAAGCACUGGCCGAUUGAUUGCAUUUUUAUUGAGAAAUCGAUGAAGUGAAUGCCUGAACGUUGUGGACGAAGUACUUACAGCAAGCAUUUAAUGAUGUCUUGCAUUUAAUCAUGGAACAUUUGAUAAAGUAAGUCUUUUUUUCUUUUUGGGGCUGGAAAACCUUCAUCGGCACCUAAAGGAGAUCGCCGAUUUUAGCUUGCAGUGCAUCCGCCAAGUGCGGCUCUAUCCAUCCGUUUUUCUAACGACAGAAAGGGCUUCUUGGCCAUGGACCGACUGUUUGAUGCCUGCAUUCGUCCGUCUUCCAGAGCAGACCAGUUUCGUACCUCUGUUCUCUAUAGCGAGAGCGUUCGGGUGUGGAAAAUAUUCAGCGCUUUGUGUUGGUUGGGGCGUUUUAGCGAGGAUUAUUGUCUUAGGUUCUCGAAGAGUUUAAGUUCUCUUUGUAUACUUCACCUCGAUACCUUUGUAAGAUUCAUGUGGAUGCAGUUAAUCUUAACCCGUUAAUUUACGAGCAUAAUGUUCUGGACGCUGUUCGGGACGGUACGGACAGCGACCGAAGGGGAAAAAGGACCCGUUCCGGUGACUCACAUGAUCACUCAGGCUCUCCCGUGGAUGUUGCUGGCAUGGGAGAUGCGGUGGCUUUCCUUUGCCCGGUGGUGCGCAUGAGGGUAGUCUUUGUAGUCGUUGCUUGCUGGUAUCGGUGUCCUCGACCCGCCGUCAGGUCAUUGGGGGCGUCCUCGGUCAGAUAGACCGAGGCGGCCGACAGUAAUGUGUAACGGCUUCCCGUUAUCGAGCACCUGAAAAGACUUGAGAUUGCGCAUGGUACGGAUUGGCCAAGGCUGACCGGACGGUAUUAUUCCUAACGAACACAUGUGUUGCAGUCUGCAGUCGUGGCUGCGUGAAGACCAGGCGGGUUUGCAUGCCACCUGGCUGUCUGUGAUCGGAUGCCCUCCAUCGCCUCGUAGAAUCCCCAUGAACAUUCUCUCGUCGCGUUUGCCGGUUGCCUUUCGAUGAGGAACUCCCCAGAAUCGACAGCGUUUCUCCAUAAACGAGCUCUGCAGUGGUGGUUCUGAUGAUGCGGUGCCACCUCUCCAUCAUCCCGUUUGAUUGCGGAUAAUACGCCGUUGUUCGUAUGUGAGAAAUAAUCUCGUCGGGGGGUUCUGGAUUGGGAGUUUCGGUUACCUAGAAAAACGAUCGAAUUCGGCGGUGUUCUGUAUGCAAUAUUAUUGCGACGUAAAGGACAUCCUGCUGUCAAUCGUGACUCCUAGAUCUCUCACUGAGUCCACACGCCUGAUAGCUGAGUCGCCUAACUGGUAGUUGAAUCGUAUGGGACGGCUCGCUCGUGAUAGCGUCAGGACAGCACAUUUAUCGAUACGCAGUGUAAGACUAUUGUUGACGCACCAUACAUUGAACACGGAUAGGGCCUUUUGAAGAUGCUGGCAGUUAGAGACAUUAGACCCACGCAUGAACAGCUUGAGGUCGUCGGCGUAGAGUAGGAAACAAUCAGCAGUAGGACUAGGGAGACGUCGUUGACAUAGACGAGGAACAAUAACGGGCCUAAUGUGCUGCCUUGAGGCACACCCGUCAUGCUCUCGAACGGAUCCGAGAGGGCCUGGCCAACCUUGACCCGGUAAGGUCUCCCUUUGACGAAUGAUCGGAUCUAAGAGGCGAUUGCACUUGAAAGUCCCAGUCUUUGCAAUUUCGCGAGCAUCAUAUCGUGAGAUACGCUGUCGAAGGCAGCUUUCAGGUCAGUGUAUAUGCAAUCGACCUGGCCCCCACUGCCUAGACUGAUCAUACCGUGCGAUACAAAUUCCACCAAAUUUGUCGCCGUAGACCGCCCGGGCAGGAAUCCGUGUUGUGCAUUACAAAGGUAAUGUUUACUGGCGCGAAGAGGAGACCCCUGUGUAACACAAUUUCGGCCAGUUUGGCACAGGCACACAGCGAUGCUAUCCCCCGGUAGUUUGACGCAAGGUGUUUGUCGCCUUUUUUCCAUAGCGAGACCAUCACCGAGGUUUUCCAGAUAUCUGGAACUUGAGAUUGUUUGAAUGAUAGCUGAAUAAGCCGGGUGAGAUGUGGAAUCAACGAAGGACACCAUUUCAGGACCGCAGCUGGUAUCCCGUCAGGCCCACUGCUGUAACUGGACUUAAGUUUUAUCAGGGCCAUGUUGAUAGUACGCAAGUCAACCUCAAUCGGUGGCAGCGUCAUGACGUCUUGUGGAGUCAGCUUUACGGUGUUCUCGAUAUCAAGCAAAGGUGUAUCGACCCCAAAGACCUCGCGGAACCGUGCGGCGAAGGCAUCUGCUUUUUUAGCGCCGGUGGAGGCCCACGAGCCAUUGUGGAAAAUAUCGCAGGGCUUCUCUCUGGAGCGGCGUCUGGAGUUGAGGAAGUUCCAGAAGGCAUUUGGAUUCCGGGUGAGGUUCCCCUGCAUGCGUCGAAUAUAGCGGUGAUGCAGUAGCCGAUUUAGAGCCCGAUAGGACCUGCAGGCAAGGUUUAAACUUGAGCGGUAGGUGGGAGUGUAGUUUCUCCGAAGAAGUUUCCUGGCGCUGUUCUUGCGAUUUUUCAGCGCUGCGAGUGCCCGGUUAGCCCAAGGUGGGGAACGACGGCGUUUGAAGCGGGGCACAGAGGCAUUCAAUGUGUCAGUUACGAUAUUGUUGAAUUCCAUCACUGCAUCAUCCACGGUAAUGUCAGGAACAUACAGAAAACUCCAAUCAACACAAGAAAACAGGUUUUCCAGCAGUUCAUAGUUUGCACGUCUGAUUUUAAGACCUGGCGGUGGUUGGUCUGAGAUACAGUGUUCGGCAUUGUGACUAGUGAUAUUGAUUGUAGCUGAAAGCACUGGGUGAUGUGUAUCGAUGGGUACAAGUGCAUCAGGUGCAUUGGACAGGGUCACAAUACGCACCAGGUUCUCGCUGCACAAUACUAAAUCGAGAAUGUGACCUGUGUUGUUUUUUAUGUUGUUCAACUGCGAUAGCCCGUGGAAGUUAAGGCAAUCGAUGAACCGUUGAGCAGCCUGUGUCAGCGAUCUAUUUCCAUCGCGGACCAACAAACGCUCAGCUUGCAUGCCGUUACCAAGUGCAGAUAUAGGCAGACUCGGGUUUGUAGCCCAAGGAAUGCUAGGUUGAUUGAAGUCACCCAAAAUCAUCAGCUGAUUUCUAUCAGCCAUGAGAGAGAUAAUCUCAAUGACUGCCGCAUCAACGUAACUCAUCGUAGAUGGUAGUGAGCUGAGUGACGGUGGAAGGUAGAUAGCGCCAAUAACAAGCCAGAGAGAGUGCAGUUUAAUCCGAGCCCAGCAGUGUUCCAGACAAGCGAGAUUCGAAUUGACUGGUGCGGAAGGGAGACGGAUGGAUACAGCUAUCAGGACACCGCCGCCCCGCGUGCAUACGCUAUUAUUGCCGUUGCGGUCGCACCGGUAGACUGUAUACUGGUCGCUGAAUGCCAAGGCAGAGGGAAUGGUGUCAUCCAGCCACGUCUCCGUCAAGACUAUGACAUCGUAAUCACACUCCGCGACAGCCAGCUAAAAUUCUUGUAGUUUGGUGCGUAGUCCGCGCACGUUUUGGUAAUAAAUGGAUAGGGAGGUGUCGUUGCUGUCGUUGUCAUAAGUGCAUCCCGAAGCAGCGUGAAAAAAAGUUUUCACUGAAUUGUCUCAAGAUUAUUUUGUAGCACUUUCGCACUGUUUGUCCUAAAUGGUGCCGCUGCGUCCGUUUAGACCGUAAAGUUUCCUUUUCUGUUGUUCUUGAAUAUUUCAUUUACCAGGAGGUUGGUUGCCGUAUAUAUAGAUCUCUUCUUUCUGUAACCAAAAGUGGCUGAUGGUACAAGGUGGUGUUUAUCAGAUACACUGAUUAGUGUUUGAAGUACGGCUAAGUUGGCAAUUAUUGUGUUGGUGGGUAGCAGCGCUAUCGGUCUGUAAUUAUCUGUUACUAUUGGGCCUUUGCCUGGUUUACCUAUGGCUGCUAUUUUGAUUGUUUUUAAUUGUUUUCCUACCUUUCCUAUUCUCCAUCUGUCGUUGAUGUCUUUGAUCACGCAUUCGGCAAUAUUAUCUUUUCGCGUUCUGAGCAUGUUGUAAGUCACCCCAUCUGUUUCAGGGGCGGUGUUCUUUAUCCUUGCUAUUAUGUUCUCUCAUCAACCUGGUGGGUAACACCUUCUCCCAGUUCUUGCUUUUGUUUUCAUCUGCGCAUUGAAAUCCCCGGUAAUAAUUUUGAUCGUUCUCUGUAGUUUGUUUUAUUAUACCGCGCAUUACGUUACUGAACUGUGCUAUCGGAUUCGCAUAGACUGUCUUUAUCUCGGGCUCGCAUAGACUGUCUUAAUGUACAUCUCUAUUUCUCCAAUAGUCACAGCUAUUUGCUGCAUACUCUUAUUUGUGUUGCUCUUGUCUAUAUUAACUAUCUUGUAGCAUCGUUUUACAGCAAUCACGCUACCUCCAUAACCGUCUUCUCUGUUGUUCGCGAUCACGUGGUAGGUUUUCAUUUGCAGGGUGUCUUCUUGUCUCAUCCAUGUUUCCUGCAGACCUAUAAUGUCUGCGUUUAACAUACUAGCCAUUCUGGUGACUUCAUCCUUGUUGGUUUUCCACCCUUGUAUGUUUGCUUGCAUUACUUUGAUAGUCAAUUUGUUUUUUUUGUAUAAGAUUAUUACUUCACCUGUUUUGUCACUGGUUUUUAUUCGUGUCAAUUCCAUCAUACGUUCGUCAGGGGACGUCCGUUCGUCACGU